UACGGAAGGCAGCAGUGGGGAAUAUUGCACAAUGGGCGAAAGCCUGAUGCAGCUAUGCCGCGUGUAUGAAGAAGGCCUUAGGGUUGUAAAGUACUUUCAUCGGGGAGGAAAAAACAAAACUAAUAAUUUUAUUUCUUGACGUUACCCGAAAAAGAAGCACCGGCUAACUCCGUGCCAGCAGCCGCGGUAAUACGGAGGGUGCUAGCGUUAAUCAGAAUUACUGGGCGUAAAGAGCACGUAGGUGGUUUUUUUAAAGUCAGAUGUGAAAUCCCUGGGCUUAACCUGGAACUGCAUUUUGAAACUGAAAUACUAGAGUAUCGUAGAGGGAGGUAGAAUUCUAGGUGUAGCGGUGAAAUGCGUAGAUAUCUGGAGGAAUACCUGUGGCGAAAGCGGCCUCCUAAACGAAUACUGACACUGAGGUGCGAAAGCGUGGGGAGCAAACGAGGGAUUAGAUA
rnacentral:rRNA from 1 species